GACGAACGCUGGCGGCGUGCUUAACACAUGCAAGUCGAACGAAGAGCGAUGGAAGCUUGCUUCUAUCAAUCUUAGUGGCGAACGGGUGAGUAACGCGUAAUCAACCUGCCCUUCAGAGGGGGACAACAGUUGGAAACGACUGCUAAUACCGCAUACGAUCUAAUCUCGGCAUCGAGGAUGGAUGAAAGGUGGCCUCUACAUGUAAGCUCUCACUGAAGGAGGGGAUUGCGUCUGAUUAGCUAGUUGGAGGGGUAACGGCCCACCAAGGCGAUGAUCAGUAGCCGGUCUGAGAGGAUGAACGGCCACAUUGGGACUGAGACACGGCCCAGACUCCUACGGGAGGCAGCAGUGGGGAAUCUUCCGCAAUGGACGAAAGUCUGACGGAGCAACGCCGCGUGAGUGAUGACGGCCUUCGGGUUGUAAAGCUCUGUUAAUCGGGACGAAAGGCCUUCUUGCGAAUAGUGAGAAGGAUUGACGGUACCGGAAUAGAAAGCCACGGCUAACUACGUG
rnacentral:rRNA from 1 species